CAGCAGCCGCCGCGGUAAUACGUAGGUCCCGAGCGUUGUCCGGAUUUAUUGGGCGUAAAGCGAGCGCAGGCGGUUAGAUAAGUCUGAAGUUAAAGGCUGUGGCUUAACCAUAGUACGCUUUGGAAACUGUUUAACUUGAGUGCAAGAGGGGAGAGUGGAAUUCCAUGUGUAGCGGUGAAAUGCGUAGAUAUAUGGAGGAACACCGGUGGCGAAAGCGGCCCUCUGGCUUGUAACUGACGCUGAGGCUCGAAAGCGUGGGGAGCAAACAGGAUUAGAUACCCCGGUAGUCCCUGUCUCUUAUACU
rnacentral:rRNA from 1 species